UACAGAGGGUGCUAGCGUUGUUCGGACUUAUUGGGCUUAAAGGGUGCGUAGGCGGCCAUGUAAGUCAGAGGUGAAAUCCCCCGGCUCAACCGGGGAAUAGCCUUUGAGACUGCAAGGCUUGAGAAUUGGAGGGGAGAGCGGAAUUCUCGGUGUAACGGUGAAAUGUGCAGAUAUCGAGGAGAAGGCCGGUGGCGAAGGCGGCUCUCUGGACAAUUUCUGACGCUGAGGCACGAAAGCUAGGGGAG
rnacentral:rRNA from 1 species